rnacentral:rRNA from 1 species
UACGGAGGGUGCAAGCGUUAUCCGGAUUCACUGGGUUUAAAGGGUGCGUAGGUGGAUUGCCAAGUCCGUGGUGAAAUCUCUGGGCUUAACCCAGAAACUGCCGUGGAUACUGGUAGUCUUGAAUGCCGUGGAGGUAAGCGGAAUAUGUCAUGUAGCGGUGAAAUGCAUGGAUAUGACAUAGAACACCAAUAGCGAAGGCAGCUUGCUAGCCUGUAACUGACGCUGAGGCACGAAAGUGUGGGGAUCAAACAGG